UACGUAGGGUCCGAGCGUUGUCCGGAAUUAUUGGGCGUAAAGGGCUCGUAGGCGGUCCGUCACGUCGGGAGUGAAAACUCGGAGCUCAACUCCGAGCCUGCUUCCGAUACGGGCAGACUAGAGGUAGGCAGGGGAGAGCGGAACUCCUGGUGUAGCGGUGGAAUGCGCAGAUAUCAGGAAGAACACCGGUGGCGAAGGCGGCUCUCUGGGCCUUACCUGACGCUGAGGUGCGAAAGCGUGGGGAGCAAACAGG
rnacentral:rRNA from 1 species